GAAUACCAAACACGUCAUCAGGGACAUAUUUGAGAAAUUUUGCACAUACUUUACAUUUAUAGACACAUGUCAGAUAUUUAAAUGUAAAGCUGUAACAGAGAAACUCGACCCCUUCAUCGGGUGAAAUGAUCCGAGUUUUGAGGAUGAGGAUUUCGAUGAAGGUCUAGUACCAACAUGUUUUUGACCCUUGACCUCCUCGUCCCUCCUACUGUCUCAGUUUUUUUGUGAUUGAUGUGGAAAGUAUUUUUCUGUUCUGUGUUUGU